AUUGAACGCUGGCGGAAUGCUUUACACAUGCAAGUCGAGCGGCAGCGCGGGGCAACCUGGCGGCGAGCGGCGAACGGGUGAGUAAUACAUCGGAACGUGCCCAGACGUGGGGGGAUAACUACUCGAAAGAGUGGCUAAUACCGCAUACGAUCUAAGGAUGAAAGCGGGGGGAUCGCAAGACCUCGCGCGUUUGGAGCGGCCGAUGGCAGAUUAGGUAGUUGGUGGGGUAAAGGCUUACCAAGCCCGCGAUCUGUAGCUGGUCUGAGAGGAUGAUCAGCCACACUGGGACUGAGACACGGCCCAGACUCCUACGGGAGGCAGCAGUGGGGAAUUUUGGACAAUGGGCGAAAGCCUGAUCCAGCCAUUCCGCGUGCAGGAUGAAGGCCCUCGGGUUGUAAACUGCUUUUGUACAGAACGAAAAAGACUCUUUCUAAUACAGAGAGUCCAUGACGGUACUGUAAGAAUAAGCACCGGCUAACCACGUGCCAGCAG
rnacentral:rRNA from 1 species